rnacentral:rRNA from 1 species
GUGGGGAAUUUUGGACAAUGGGCGCAAGCCUGAUCCAGCAAUGCCGCGUGCAGGAAGAAGGCCUUCGGGUUGUAAACUGCUUUUGUACGGAACGAAACGGUCCUGGUUAAUACCUGGGGCUAAUGACGGUACCGUAAGAAUAAGCACCGGCUAACUACGUGCCAGCAGCCGCGGUAAUACGUAGGGUGCGAGCGUUAAUCGGAAUUACUGGGCGUAAAGCGUGCGCAGGCGGUGAUGUAAGACAGUUGUGAAAUCCCCGGGCUCAACCUGGGAACUGCAUCUGUGACUGCAUUGCUGGAGUGCGGCAGAGGGGGAUGGAAUUCCGCGUGUAGCAGUGAAAUGCGUAGAUAUGCGGAGGAACACCGAUGGCGAAGGCAAUCCCCUGGGCCUGCACUGACGCUCAUGCACGAAAGCGUGGGGAGCAAACAGGAUUAGAAACCCGGGUAGUCC